AACCUAAGGUGUGGACAUCGUCUAGGCAAAUCUUUGUAUCUUUCCUAGGCUUCAUACAACGAUUCAUAAUCAAGUUGCAUAAAAAAGGUGAUAUCAUUACUCAUAUU
rnacentral:snoRNA from 1 species